CUGGCGGCGUGCUUAACACAUGCAAGUCGAACGAGACUUAAGAACGGAAGUCUUCGGAUGGAAGGUCAUAAGUCGAGUGGCGGACGGGUGAGUAACGCGUGAGCAACCUGUCUUAUACAGGGGGAUAACACUCCGAAAGGAGCGCUAAUACCGCAUAAGACCACGAUGCCGCAUGGUAUCGGGGUAAAAGGAGCGAUCCGGUAUAAGGUGGGCUCGCGUCCCAUUAGAUAGUUGGCAGGGUAACGGCCUACCAAGUCGACGAUGGGUAGCCGACCUGAGAGGGUGAUCGGCCACAUUGGAACUGAGAUACGGUCCAGACUCCUACGGGAGGCAGCAGUGGGGAAUAUUGGGCAAUGGGCGAAAGCCCUGACCCAGCAACGCCGCGUGAGGGAUGAAGGUCUUCGGGUUGUAAACCUCUGUCCUAAGUGAAAAGGAAGGAUGGUAGCUUAGGAGGAAGCUCCGGCUAACUACGUGCCAGCCGCCGC
rnacentral:rRNA from 1 species